ensembl:snRNA U2 U2 spliceosomal RNA
UAAGCUUCUUGGCCUUUUGGCUAAGAUCAAGUGUAGUAUCAAAUGUAUUUUAAGUUCUUAUUUCAUUCAUUCCUGAACUGACCUUUG